rnacentral:tRNA from 1 species
AGGCACGUAGCUCAGGGGGAGAGCGCUACCCUGACACGGUAGAAGUCCCGAGUUCAAAUCUCGGCGUGCCUACCA